UACAGAGGGUGCGAGCGUUAAUCGGAAUUACUGGGCGUAAAGCGCGCGUAGGCGGUUUUGCAAGUCGGGUGUGAAAUCCCCAGGCCUAACCUGGGAACUGCACUCGAGACUGCAUGGCUAGAGUAUCGGAGAGGGAAGUGGAAUUUCAGGUGUAGCGGUGAAAUGCGUAGAUAUCUGAAGGAACAUCAGUGGCGAAAGCGGCAUCCUGGACCAAUAUUGACGCUGAGGAGCGAAAGCUAGGGGAGCAAACGGG
rnacentral:rRNA from 1 species